GCAGGACCGGCCCCGGCGGCACCGUCGGUCUUGCCGGAGGUUGGACAGGGCACAGCGCGCACCUGAAGACAGAAGCCGGACAGAGGUAUACAAUGUGAUGAUUUACCCUUCUGCCAUGUGAGCCACAGCAUGUGGCCCUUCCUCCAUGUGAGAAUGCAGCAAGAAGGCCCUCUGGCAAGUAGAGAGCAAGCCCUCACCAGACACCCAAUCUGCUGUGCUUGAUCCUGGACUUCCCGGCCUCCAGAACGAAACCACCUAGCAGUAAUAAGGACACUGAGAAACAGAAAAGCAAACCUCAUCUUUGACAAAACAAGGAGACAUGUUCACUCCCAUAUGCAGGCAGUGGCUGUGGUUCCAGGCCCCGCAUGGCUCCAGGAGCCUCCUCAGAAGCAGAAGCUCCCAUGGUGGGCCAGCCCAGCAGUGUUGUUCACUCUACGGUGUCCAGCCGAGAACUGCUUCUCUAGGCCUUCCAAUGAUGUGAGUUAUUGCCUGUCUACUAUGGACCCAAAGCUGUUCUAGGCACUGGGGAUACAGUCAUCUGUCAUUAUCCAUGGGGGAUACAUUCAAAGACCCCAGAGGAUGCCUGAAACCGAGGAUGGUACCAAACUCUAUAUGUACUGUUUUUUUCUAUACAAACAUACAUACAUACCUAUGGUAAAGUUUAAUUUAUAAAUUAGGCACAGUAAAAAAUUGACAAU